AACGAACGCUGGCGGCAUGCCUAACACAUGCAAGUCGAACGAGACCUCCGGGUCUAGUGGCGCAUGGGUGCGUCACGUGUGGGACGCUGCCCUUAGGUACGGAAUACUUCUCUGACGGGGGUGCUAAUACAGGAUAACGUACUCGAACAAAAGAUUGAUCCCCCUUGGGUGGGCGCGAGUUGGAUUAGCUUGUUGGUAGAGGAAGAGCCUACGAAGGCGUCGAUCCAUAGCUGGUCAGAGAGGAUGAGCAGCAACACUGAGACUGAGACACGGCGGAGACUCCUACGGGAGGCAGCAGAGGGGAAUAUUGGACAAUGGGCGAAGGCCUGAACCAGCUAGGCCGGGAGAGUGAUUAUGGCCUGAGAGUUAUAAAGCUGGUUUACCCGGGAUGAUAAUGACGGUACCGAAAGAAUAAGCACCGGCUAACUCCGUG
rnacentral:rRNA from 1 species